UCAAGAUCAAGAACGGAACGGAGGCACAACAACUGGCAGCGGAAUAAGUAUGGUGGAUUUUGAGUCUCCUGCCACCAACUUGAAGCAAAUUCAGUGAAGGUACAAAAGCAUUAAUAAAAAGUUUAAAUGCCAGCUUUGGAAACAUGGAAAUGGAAGAUUCCUUGGUUGUUGCAAGUGUUUAUCAGGUUUUGGUUCUAUUAAAGAGGCAAAUAGCAGUGGAAAAAUUUCAAGAAUUACUACAUGAUUUAUGAUUUAGUUUUGUAAUUUGUUGAUUCUUGCAAA